AACCAGACAACGUCUGUGCUAUUAUGUGGAUGAAGAAAAAGAGGGAACCGGGAUCUGAAUGAUGCAGUGUCGCAAUCCCAUUUUAUAAAUGAGGCAACCAAAACUCGAACAGGACCAUAUUGCGACUGAAACAAGGCAUAACAGGUCUUUGACUGGCUAUCCUGUGGAUGUGGACUCAGGCUAGCCUGCGCAAAGUGAAAGACAGGCAAUUAGAUUGAAAAAUACCUGUGAUUCAAAGAAGUCACAAGUCACAGAGACAAACUUUUCCCAGUGUGUUCGAGUCAGAGAACCUUUGCAAAGACCAACAGGCUAAAAGAGAAAAUACAAUGUCAUGACACAGCUAGAAUAUGUUUCCAAGCCUCCCCAACACGUGUGACUGUGUAUAAUUGAGUUCUAACCACAGGAAGCUUGAUGCAGAUGAGCAGGUAACCAUGGAAGUCGUGAGCUGAGGCUGCAGAGUCUAGAGCCAGAGUGUGGAAUAAACUUGGGUCUCAAAUCACCCCUGGAGCAAAGCACCCAUCUAAUCAGGAACUUCUACUUUCAACUUUACAUGCGUGAGAAAUGAACUUCUAUCAUGUUAGAGAAAUCCUUACACGGCGCCCUUGAGAGCUUUCAUACUGCAAGUCAUCCAUUUUCCUCCCCUCAAACCUGGCAUCGGAGUUUAUUG
rnacentral:lncRNA from 10 species